rnacentral:tRNA from 1 species
GGAAAUAUACCUUAAUGGUUAGAGCAGUGCCCUUAUACGGUACCGGUUGAAGGUUCAAGUCCUUCUAUUUCCA